AUUGAACGCUGGCGGUAUGCUUAAGACAUGCAAGUCGUGCGGUAGAAGGCUUCGGCCUUUGAGAGCGGCGGACGGGUGAGUAACACGUGGGAAUCUGCCUAUUAGUGGGGGACAGCCCAGCGAAAGCUGGAUUAAUACCGCAUACGCCCUACGGGGAAAGCAGCAAUGCGCUAAUAGAUGAGCCCGCGUAAGAUUAGCUAGUUGGUAAGGUAAAGGCUUACCAAGGCGACGAUCUUUAGCUGGUCUGAGAGGAUGGCCAGCCACAUCGGGACUGAGACACGGCCGGACUCCUACGGGAGGCAGCAGUCGGGAAUAUUGGACAAUGGGCGCAAGCCUGAUCCAGCAAUACCGCGUGUGUGAAGAAGGCCUGCGGGGUUGUAAAAGCACUUUCAGUUGGGAAGAUAAUCGACGUUACCAACAGAAGAAAGCACCGGUCAACUACCGUGCCAGCAGCCGCGGUUAAAGUAGUCGUG
rnacentral:rRNA from 1 species